rnacentral:snRNA from 1 species
AGCUUUGCACAGUGGCAGUAUCAUAACCAACGAAGUGAUCUGAGGUGUGAUUAUUGCUACUUGAAAAUCUGCUCCUCUCCCCUUCCUGGUGGUAGAUGUACAAUACUACUGUAGACAGCAGAAACUGUUACAUCUUCUUGCUCUUUUUUUACACUCACCAGUAA